rnacentral:rRNA from 1 species
UACAGAGGUCUCAAGCGUUGUUCGGAUUCAUUGGGCGUAAAGGGUGCGUAGUGGCGCGUUAAGCCAGGUGUGAAAUUUCGGAGCUUAACUCCGAAACUGCAUUUGAUACUGGCGUGCUUGAGGACUGGAGAGGAGACUGGAAUUCAUGGUGUAGCAGUGAAAUGCGUAGAGAUCAUGAGGAAGACCAGUGGCGAAGGCGGGUCUCUGGACAGUUCCUGACACUGAGGCACGAAGGCCAGGGGAGCAAACGGG